GCAUCGGUGGCUUAGUGGUAGAAUGCUCGCCUGCCACGCGGGAGGCCCGGGUUCGAUUCCCGGCCGAUGCA
rnacentral:tRNA from 1 species